rnacentral:rRNA from 1 species
AUACGGAGGAUCCGAGCGUUAUCCGGAUUUAUUGGGUUUAAAGGGUGCGUAGGCGGCCUUUUAAGUCAGCGGUGAAAGUCUGUGGCUCAACCAUAGAAUUGCCGUUGAAACUGGGAGGCUUGAGUAUGUUUGAGGCAGGCGGAAUGCGUGGUGUAGCGGUGAAAUGCUUAGAUAUCACGCAGAACCCCGAUUGCGAAGGCAGCCUGCAAGCCAUGACUGACGCUGAUGCACGAAAGCGUGGGGAUCAAACAGGAUUAGAUACCCUGGUAGUCCACGCAGUAAACGAUGAUCACUAGCUGUUUGCGAUACAGUGUAAGCGGCACAGCGAAAGCGUUAAGUGAUCCACCUGGGGAGUACGCCGGCAACGGUGAAACUCAAAUGAAUUGACGGGG